AUUGAACGCUGGCGGCAGGCUUAACACAUGCAAGUCGAGCGAGCGGCGGACGGGUGAGUAAUGUCUGGGAAACUGCCUGAUGGAGGGGGAUAACUACUGGAAACGGUAGCUAAUACCGCAUACCAUCGGAUGUGCCCAGAUGGGAUUAGCUAGUAGGUGGGGUAAAGGCUCACCUAGGCGACGAUCCCUAGCUGGUCUGAGAGGAUGACCAGCCACACUGGAACGGAGACCAGGUCCAGAAUCCUACGUGAGGCAGGAGUGGGGAAUAUUGCAAAAUGGGGGGAAGCCUGAUGGCGGCAUGCCGCGUGGAUGAAGAAGGCCUUCGGGUUUUAAAGUUCUUUCAGCGGGGAGGCGUUACCCGCAGAAGAAGCACCGGCUAACUCCGUGCCAGCAGCCGCGGUAAUUC
rnacentral:rRNA from 1 species